UUGAGGUUUGGUGGGGAUGAGGUUAACCAAUAUAGUAGUUGUUUUGGAACGGGACUUGGUUACAAAUAGAAGUAAAAAAAUGGAUCCAUCAAAUAACGUCAAUUCGUGCAAUAUAACAGCAUCAGGCACAAGCAAAAAACGAGCUGCUUUACUCGGAACUGUGGCUAUAAGUCAAUAUUUUUUAAAGACUAUUAUUGAUUUGGGAAUUGAUGAUAGUGAUGAAAGUGAUGCAGAAUUGAUGCAAGAAUUAAAUAACGUUGAGAAAGAUUUAAGAAUACGUGGUAAAAGGAGAAAAGUAAUACGUGUUGAAGGCUUUGUGGAACACACAAUACCAAGGUUUUCUGCAAAACAAUUUAAAGAACAUUUUCGAAUGAGACCAGCUAUCUUCGAUAUUUUGGAGAAUAGAUUGGGAAAUUUAUUAUCACGACAACAAUCAAUUGGUCGUUUGACAGUGCCUGUUCGGAAACAAUUAUUAUACUAGCCACUCUUUGGUUAUUAGCUACUCCUGAUUCUUACAGAUCUGUUGGAUCAAAAUUUGAUUUAGGAAAAUCUUCACUUUCUCAUUGUGUUAGAAGAGUAGUGACAGCUCUAAACUCAAUAUCAAACGAAAUUAUAUCUUGGCCAAAAGAUGAUCGUUUAUUAAAUACAAAAGCUCAAUUUCAGAGAAUUGCAGACUUGUAUAACGUUAUUGGAGCCAUAGACGGUACACAUAUCGAAAUUCCUACUCCAGAAGUUGAUCCUGAAACAUAUAAUACACGAAAAUGUAGAUAUGCCAUUGUUCUGCAGGCAGUAUGUGACGCAAAUCUACCAGAUAGCAAAAUGUUAGCAGUAUGCCAGCAGUAUGCCGGCAAAUUCAAUCAUGAUUGUAGAGCAGAUUCCUAUCCACUGUGUCUUCUUUAAGCUUGGUUUUUGUCAUCAUGAUUUACCAAACAUAAU